CCCUUAGAUGUUCUGGGCCGCACGCGUGCUACACUGAGUGGAUCAGCGGGUCAGGUUGCGCGAAAGUGUUUCCUAAUCUUUAAAUCCGCUCGUGAUGGGGAUUGACGGUUGCAAUUUUCCGUCAUGAACGAGGAAUACCUUGUAAGCGCGGGUCAUCAUCCCGCGCUGAAUACGUCCCUGCCCUUUGUACACACCGCCCGUCGCUCCUACCGAUUGAGUGGUCCGGUGAGGCUUUGGGAUCUGAGCGGAAAGAGCGUAUCGCUGUUUCUGCCCGGAAAACUCAGUCGAACCUUAUCAUUUAGAGGAAGGAGAAGUCGUAACA
rnacentral:rRNA from 1 species